rnacentral:tRNA from 1 species
GGAGAGGUGGCCGAGUGGCUGAAGGCGGCGCCCUGCUAAGGCGUUACGGGUGGUAAUCCGCCCGUCGAGGGUUCGAAUCCCUCCCUCUCCG